rnacentral:rRNA from 1 species
GACGAACGCUGGCGGCGUGCCUAAUACAUGCAAGUCGAGCGAAGUUUUUCUGGUGCUUGCACUAGAAAAACUUAGCGGCGAACGGGUGAGUAACACGUAAAGAACCUGCCUCAUAGACUGGGACAACUAUUGGAAACGAUAGCUAAUACCGGAUAACAGCAUUAACUGCAUGGUUGAUGUUUAAAAGUUGGUUUUGCUAACACUAUGAGAUGGCUUUGCGGUGCAUUAGCUAGUUGGUGGGGUAAAGGCCUACCAAGGCGACGAUGCAUAGCCGACCUGAGAGGGUGAUCGGCCACACUGGGACUGAGACACGGCCCAGACUCCUACGGGAGGCAGCAGUAGGGAAUCUUCCGCAAUGGGCGAAAGCCUGACGGAGCAACGCCGCGUGAGUGAAGAAGGAUUUCGGUUCGUAAAGCUCUGUUGUUAGGGAAGAAUGAUUGUGUAGUAACUAUACAC